rnacentral:rRNA from 1 species
UACAGAGGGUGCGAGCGUUAAUCGGAGUUACUGGGCGUAAAGGGCGCGUAGGCGGUUAUAUGAGUGUGAUGUGAAAGCCCCCGGGCUUAACCUGGGAAGUGCAUCGCAAACGAUAUAACUGGAGUAGAUGAGAGGGUGGCGGAAUUUCCGGUGUAGCGGUGAAAUGCGUAGAGAUCGGAAGGAACGUCGAUGGCGAAGGCAGCCACCUGGCAUCAUACUGACGCUGAGGCGCGAAAGCGUGGGGAGCGAACAGG